rnacentral:rRNA from 1 species
AGAGUUUGAUCCUGGCUCAGGACGAACGCUGGCGGCGUGCUUAACACAUGCAAGUCGAACGAGGAAUGCCGGAAAGCUUGCUUUUUGACAUUUCGAGUGGCGGACGGGUGAGUAACGCGUGAGGAACCUGUCUUCUACAGGGGGAUAACGUCUCGAAAGGGACGCUAAUACCGCAUAAGACCACGGUGCCGCAUGGCACAGGGGUCAAAGGAGCGAUCCGGUAGAAGGUGGCCUCGCGUCCCAUUAGGCAGUUGGCGGGGUAACGGCCCACCAAACCUGCGAUGGGUAGCCGACCUGAGAGGGUGAUCGGCCACAUUGGAACUGAGACACGGUCCAAACUCCUACGGGAGGCAGCAGUGGGGAAUAUUGGGCAAUGGGCGCAAGCCUGACCCAGCAACGCCGCGUGAGGGAAGAAGGUUUUCGGAUUGUAAACCUCUGUCCCGGGAGACGAGGAGAAGACGGUAUCCCGGGAGGAAGCCCCGGCUAACUACGUGCC